UACGGGGGGAGCAAGCGUUGUUCGGAUUUACUGGGCGUAAAGGGCGCGUAGGCGGCCUGUUAAGUCGAACGUGAAAUCCCCGGGCUCAACCCGGGAACUGCGUCCGAUACUGGCAGGCUUGAAUCCGGGAGAGGGAUGCGGAAUUCCAGGUGUAGCGGUGAAAUGCGUAGAUAUCUGGAGGAACACCGGUGGCGAAGGCGGCAUCCUGGACCGGCAUUGACGCUGAGGCGCGAAAGCCAGGGGAGCAAACAGG
rnacentral:rRNA from 1 species